UACGUAGGGUGCGAGCGUUGUCCGGAAUUAUUGGGCGUAAAGAGCUUGUAGGCGGUUUGUCGCGUCUGCUGUGAAAAUCCGGGGCUCAACCCCGGACUUGCAGUGGGUACGGGCAGACUAGAGUGUGGUAGGGGAGACUGGAAUUCCUGGUGUAGCGGUGAAAUGCGCAGAUAUCAGGAGGAACACCGUUGGCGAAGGCAGGUCUCUGGGCCACUACUGACGCUGAGAAGCGAAAGCAUGGGGAGCGAACAGG
rnacentral:rRNA from 1 species